ensembl:snoRNA small nucleolar RNA SNORA23
UCAGGCUUCUGUAUAGUGUUCAUAUGUGUGUGUGUGUGUGUGUGUGUAUGUGUAUGUGUAUGUGUAUAUAUACAUACAUACACACACACACACACACACACACACACACACACAUGUUGUCUUAAGUUUUCGUGGGUACUUAAAUGUAUGGUAUUCCCGAACAAAUACCCGAACAAAG